AAAUAGUUUGCAGUUUGUUGUAGUCCCACUAAACCUCCUUUGUUGAUCUUGAAAUAUUUCAUCAUACAGAAGUGCAUGUAGAAUAGUAUCUCAAAUAAAUACCCUGCAAGCACCACCAAGCAUAACACAUCUUAAUAUUUUCCACAUUUGUUUCAGAUUUUAAAAAUAACACAUUGGAAAUAGAGAUGGAGCCUCUGUGUACCCUCUUCCCCUCCCAAAAGAUGAUUCCAAGCUUCAGCCCACCAGCUAGCUCCCUGCAUCACAGCCUAAGAUGUACACAACUCCAAGCCAUGCCUCGCCACCAAGGAUCUUCUUUGGCCACACUCAGUCCCUGCUCCGUAGAGAAGGGAAGUCGCACAGCUGCAGGAUAUAGGAGGC
rnacentral:lncRNA from 1 species